CCCUAAAGGGUCGUCGAAGACUACGACGUUGAUAGGCAGGGUGUGUAAGCGUUGUGAGGCGUUGAGCUAACCUGUACUAAUGGCCCGUGAGGCUUGACCA
rnacentral:rRNA from 1 species